rnacentral:rRNA from 1 species
AUGUGUUCCCCUGGGAGGCGCUGGCCAACAGACGGGCCCCGCUGCUAUGCACGUCGCCAGCCGACAGCGGGCGCGCCCACCUGCGCAGAUCUGACGGGCUCUGCGGGCGUGGGAUCCGGUGCUGAUCCUCUGCAAUCACUGCCUAAUGAUGGGGCAGCAGCACACACGGGAUUCUCUGUGCCGCCCGUGGCUGGCUCCUCACGCGCUGAAGCCGCAGAAGAUCCCGACGUGGGAGCAGCCACUGGAACAGCACCAGGUGCAUCCUCCUCGGGAUCGGAUGCGGGAUCUCCUGCGCCACGGGCUGGUGCAGUCUCGCCUGUGCAACCACGCACUCAUCUCCAAAAAGGGGUAAUUCAACAUGUUAAUUAUAAAACAAAGUUUGGCUUGGCUUGUUCCUCCACAGGUGAACCUAGUACGGUUGAAGAGGCACUGAAUGACCCACGUUGGAGGAAGGCAAUGGAAGAAGAAUAUGCGGCAUUGAAGAAAAAUAAAACGUGGCAUCUAGUACCUCCAUGA